UACAGAGGUCUCAAGCGUUGUUCGGAUUCAUUGGGCGUAAAGGGUGCGUAGGUGGCGCUGUAAGUCGGGUGUGAAAUUUCGAGGCUUAACCUCGAAACUGCAUUCGAUACUGCGGUGCUUGAGGACUGGAGAGGAGACUGGAAUUCAUGGUGUAGCAGUGAAAUGCGUAGAGAUCAUGAGGAAGACCAGUGGCGAAGGCGGGUCUCUGGACAGUUCCUGACACUGAGCCGCGACAGCAUGGGGAGCAAACAGG
rnacentral:rRNA from 1 species